UACGGGGGGGGGCAAGCGUUGUUCGGAAUUACUGGGCGUAAAGGGCGCGUAGGCGGUUUGUUAAGUUGGAUGUGAAAACUCUGGGCUUAACCCAGAGCCUGCAUCCAAAACUAGCAGGCUAGAGUUCUGGAGGGGAUAGCGGAAUUCCUGGUGUAGCGGUGAAAUGCGUAGAUAUCAGGAGGAACACCGGUGGCGAAGGCGGCUAUCUGGACAGAAACUGACGCUGAGGCGCGAAAGCUAGGGGAGCAAACAGG
rnacentral:rRNA from 1 species